GUAGUCCACGCCGUAAACGAUGAAUACUAGGUGUAGGGGUUGUCAUGACCUCUGUGCCGCCGCUAACGCAUUAAGUAUUCCGCCUGGGGAGUACGGUCGCAAGAUUAAAACUCAAAGGAAUUGACGGGGGCCCGCACAAGCAGCGGAGCAUGUGGUUUAAUUCGAAGCAACGCGAAGAACCUUACCUAGACUUGACAUCUCCUGCAUUACCCUUAAUCGGGGAAGUUCCUUCGGGGACAGGAAGACAGGUGGUGCAUGGUUGUCGUCAGCUCGUGUCGUGAGAUGUUGGGUUAAGUCCCGCAACGAGCGCAACCUUAUUGUUAGUUGCUACCAUUUAGUUGAGCACUCUAGCGAGACUGCCCGGGUUAACCGGGAGGAAGGUGGGGAUGACGUCAAAUCAUCAUGCCCCUUAUGUCUAGGGCUACACACGUGCUACAAUGGCAAGUACAAAGAGAAGCAAGACCGCGAGGUGGAGCAAAACUCAAAAACUUGUCUCAGUUCGGAUUGUAGGCUGAAACUCGCCUACAUGAAGCUGGAGUUGCUAGUAAUCGCGAAUCAGCAUGUCGCGGUGAAUACGUUCCCGGGCCUUGUACACACCGCCCGUCACACCAUGAGAGUUGGCAAUACCCAACGUACGUGAUCUAACCCGCAAGGGAGGAAGCGUCCUAAGGUAGGGUCAGCGAUUGGGGUGAAGUCGUAACAAGGUAGCCGUAGGAGAACC
rnacentral:rRNA from 1 species